rnacentral:rRNA from 1 species
AACGGCCGCGGUACUCUAACCGUGCAAAGGUAGCACAAUAACUUGUUCUUUAAAUGAGGACUAGAAUCAACGGCACCACGAGAAUCAUACUGUCUCCCUACUCCAAUCAGUGAAACUGACUUCCCGUGAAGAAGCGGGAAUAUAACUAUAAGACGAGAAGACCCCAUGGAGCUUUAAACCCAACAACACCCAUUUAUUUUUUACCCACACAUUUACUAGGCUCUGUUUGUUUGGUUUUAGGUUGGGGUGACCAUGGAGUAAAAAAUAGCCUCCAAGAAAAAUGGACCAGCAAUCCUUAACAAAGAACUACAAUUCUAAGAAUUAAUAUAUUAAUUUUUAAUGAUCCGAUAUUUGAUCAACGAACCAAGUUACCCUGGGGAUAACAGCGCAAUCCACUUUAAGAGCCCAUAUCGACAAGUGGGUUUACGACCUCGAUGUUGGAUCAGGGUAUCCUAGUGGUGCAGCAGCUACUAAUGGUUCGUUUGUUCAACGAUUAAAACCCU